rnacentral:rRNA from 1 species
AUUGAACGCUGGCGGAACGCUUUACACAUGCAAGUCGAACGGUAACGCGGAGAGAAGCUUGCUUCUCUCCGGCGACGAGUGGCGAACGGGUGAGUAAUACAUCGGAACGUGUCCGCUCGUGGGGGACAACCAGCCGAAAGGUUGGCUAAUACCGCAUGAGUUCUACGGAAGAAAGAGGGGGACCCGCAAGGGCCUCUCGCGAGCGGAGCGGCCGAUGACUGAUUAGCCGGUUGGUGAGGUAACGGCUCACCAAAGCAACGAUCAGUAGCUGGGCUGAGAGGACGACCAGCCACACUGGGACUGAGACACGGCCCAGACUCCUACGGGAGGCAGCAGUGGGGAAUUUUGGACAAUGGACGCAAGUCUGAUCCAGCCAUUCCGCGUGCAGGAUGAAGGCCCUCGGGUUGUAAACUGCUUUUGUACGGAACGAAAAGGUCUCUCUUAAUACGGGGGGCUCAUGACGGUACCGUAAGAAUAAGCACCGGCUAACUACGUGCCAGCCGCCGCAGUAA